rnacentral:rRNA from 1 species
AUUGAACGUUGGCGGCGUGGAUUAGGCAUGCAAGUCGUGCGGAAAGGCUCCUUCGGGAGUACUCGAGCGGCGAAAGGGAGAGUAACGCGUGGAUAUCUACCCCCGGGACUGGGAUAGCGGCGGGAAACUGCCGGUAAUACCGGAUAAAGUCUCCGGACCAAAGGUGUGACUCCGCCUGGGGAUGAGUCCGCGUCCUAUUAGCCUGUUGGUGGGGUAAUGGCCUACCAAAGCUGAGAUGGGUACCGAGUGUGAGAGCAUGGCCCGGCUCACUGGGACUGAGACACUGCCCAGACACCUACGGGUGGCUGCAGUCGAGAAUCUUCGGCAAUGGGCGCGAGCCUGACCGAGCGACGCCGCGUGCGGGAUGAAGGCCCUCGGGUUGUAAACCGCUGUCAGAGGUGCGGAAAUGCAUGGGAGUACUCUCCCAUGUUUGACCUACCCUCAGAGGAAGUACGGGCUAAGUUCGUGCCAGCCGCCGCCGUAACAC